rnacentral:rRNA from 1 species
UACGAAGGGGACUAGCGUUGUUCGGAAUCACUGGGCGUAAAGCGCACGUAGGCGGAUUCGUAAGUCAGGGGUGAAAUCCCGGGGCUCAACCUCGGAACUGCCUUUGAUACUGCGGGUCUUGAGUCCGAUAGAGGUGGGUGGAAUUCCUAGUGUAGAGGUGAAAUUCGUAGAUAUUAGGAAGAACACCGGUGGCGAAGGCGGCCCACUGGAUCGGUACUGACGCUGAGGUGCGAAAGCGUGGGGAGCGAACGGG